CUGAAGAAAUGGAGGUGCUACUGGCUCAAGGAACCUGGAUUCAUUUAGAGAGUGUGCCCAGGAUGAGACGUGUGGAGAGCCUGGCCUGAACCAACACUAACAGUCUCCUGGACAGGAGAUAAGAAAAUGGAGGUCACGAGCUGGAGAACUCCUUGCUCAAGUUGCAUAGCUAAUAAGGGACUUAGCUGGGAUUCCUGGCCAGCAGUGUGGCUCCAGGCCUGGUUUCUAACUUCCCCUUGUUGGCAACCACCUUCACAGAGGAAUGCAAGAGUUGUUCUCAAGACUCCUAAAUAAAGCAUUUCCCCUGUGUGGGCGACCCCUGGGUCCCAUGUGGGGUCAGUGUUUGGGUCUCUCUGAGAGGAUCAGGAAGGCUGCUCUUCCAGGAAGGGCUGCAGGGACCCUGGGAACCGGACCAGUCCAGCUCACAAGUAUGAAGAGAAUGUCGGGAGAGGAAGUGGUGGCUAUGAGUCAGCAUGAGUCAUCUCGUUCCAAUGAGAAUGAAGGCUGAGACAAGCGGUGCCUGAGCCCGUGCCUGUCUUCAGAUCUUCACAGCACAGUUCCUGGGAAGGUGGAGCCACCAGCCUCUCCCUGAAUAACUGGGAGAUGAAACAGGAAGCUCUAUGACACACUUGAUCGAAUAUGACAGACACUGAAAAUCACGACUCAUCCCCCUCCAGCACCUCUACCUGUUGCCCGCCGAUCACAGCCGGAAUGCAGCUGAAAGAUUCCCUGGGGCCUGGUUCCAACUGCCCACUGUGGACUCUGAGGCCUCUGCAUUUGCGGGUGGUCUGCCUGUGAUAUUUUGGUCAUGGGCUGGUCUGGUCGGUUUCCCAUUUGUCUGGCCAGUCUCUGUGUGUCUUAAUCCCUUGUCCUUCAUUAAAAGCAAAACUAAAGAAAACAGAA
rnacentral:lncRNA from 1 species